rnacentral:rRNA from 1 species
AUGUUUAAUGAAGUUGAUAUUUCUAGUCUCCCAAGUUUUGAUGAGCAAAUUUAUUAUGAUGAAAGUAUGCCUCCUAUUUAUGAUGAUUAUAUUGAUGAAAGUGGUUUUGGAGAGGUCAUGAUUUUAUUUUGUGAUGAAUCCACUAUUUCGGAAGAGGUUCCAAUUGAUUAUGAGAACAAAGUUGCUAUCUAUGAUGAUUAUUGUGAUGGCUUGUAUGCUAUAAAGAAUAAUGAUAUCCAUGAAACUUUUCAUCAUGAUUGUUAUAUUGUUGAAUUCAUUCAUGAUGCUACUGAAAAUUAUUAUGAGGGAGGAAUAUAUGCUUGUAGGAAUUGCAAUAAUAUCAAGUUUCCUCUCUAUGUGCUUAAAGUUUUGAAGUUAUGCUUGUUUUACCUUCCUAUGCAAGUUGACUCUUGUUCCCACAAGUUAUUUGCUCACAAAAUCCCUAUGCAUAGGAAGUGGGUUAGACUUAAGUGUGCCAGCCAUAUUCUUCAUGAUGCUCUCUUUAUAUUUCAUUUCUUAUCUUUUAUGUGA